AUUGCUUCUUGGCCUUUUGGCUAAGAUCAAGUGUAGGAUCUGUUCUUAUCAGUUUAAUAUCUGAUAUAUCCUCUAUCUGAGGACAAUAUAGUGAAUGGAUUUUUGGAAUUAGAAAAUGGAAUAGGAGCUUGCUUGGUCCAUUCCACACAUCAACCUAGUAUUGCUGUACUUCCAGGAUUGAUGCAGACAUA